UAAUAAUAUUACUCUAAAAAAUAAAAUUUGCAGGACAGUACAAGUACAAUAACAUAUGCAGCAGUAGCAGCAGUUGAGGUAGUGUGGCAGUAGUGGCGAUGGUGGCAGUAGUGGCGGUGGUGGCGAAAGUGGCGGUGGUAGCAAGCCAAUAGUAUUUGUGAUAUAUAAUGGUUGUUUUAAUAUUAAUAAUAUUACUCUAAAAAAUAAAAUUUACAGGACAGUACAAGUACAAUAACAUAUGCAGCAGUAGCAGCAGUUGAGGUAGUGUGGCAGUAGUGGCGAUGGUGGCGGUGGUAGCAAGCCAAUAGUAUUUGUGAUAUAUAAUGGUUGUUUUAAUAUUAAUAAUAUUACUCUAAAAAAUAAAAUUUGCAGGACAGUACAAGUACAAUAACAUAUGCAGCAGUAGCAGCAGUUGAGGUAGUGUGGUAGUAGUGGUGGUGGUGGCAGUAGUGGCGAUGGUGGCGGUGGUGGCGAAGGUGGCGGUGGUAGCAAGCCAAUAGUAUUUGUGAUAUAUAAU
rnacentral:lncRNA from 1 species